rnacentral:rRNA from 1 species
GGCUUACUCACGGGGUACCAGUGUUCAAUGGGAGGUACAGAAGGUGUCCGGCGACGGGAUGCCAAUCCCCAAAACCUCUCUCAGUUCGGAUUGGAGUCUGCAACCCGACUCCAUGAAGCUGGAUUCGCUAGUAAUCGCGCAUCAGCCACGGCGCGGUGAAUACGUUCCCGGGCCUUGUACACACCGCCCGUCAAGCCAUGAAAGCCGGGGGUACCUGAAGUGCGUGACCGCAAGGAGCGUCCUAGGGUAAAACUGGUGAUUGGGGCUAAGUCGUAACAAGGUAGCCGU